rnacentral:tRNA from 1 species
UAGUUCAAUGGUAGAGCGUCUCGCUUACAACGAGAAAGUUAGCGGUUCGAGUCCG